UUUCUCUCCUCUUACUCCCUCCAUUCCCCUCUCUCUAAAAAUAAAUAAAAUCUUUUUUAAAAAUUCAAAGUAUGAAGUAAGUACGCUAGGGUGUUUUGGUGACUGUUGGAGCCUCUUUAGAACUCAUUUUCCCUCAUCUGAGUUUCUUGUACAGAGACUUAUGAGCUGAUUACUGAUUGAGACUUUCAGGUAUGUACAUACAGUGUAUGUCUGUAUGUCUGUCGUAUGUUUGUCCGAGGAGGGGGCAUGAUAUCUGUGCUCUCAGGGUGUCAGUUUUGUCUGGAGCGAAGAGUAACAAGGUCACGGGAGUGACCCUAAAGCUCUAGCGUAACGCUGUAUUAUAUAGAAAAGGAAACAGAGAUCCAGGGAGGUGGGGCACCCUGCCCAAAGUCCUGUAGCCCAUGGGACGGAACCGGGAACAGAACACACACGUCUUGACUUCUGGCCAUGUACCGCACAGAGGCAACACACGUGGGCACUGGAGCAUCAGGGGCUUAGUUUCCAAUGGUAGCUCUUCCGUUAGCCAUGAGACCUUGUGCAACGAAUUCCUCUGCUUUCAUUACUUGUAAAGUGGGGGUAAUAAUUCCUGCUUCAGAGGGUCGUUACUGUGAGGCUUAAAUGAGUAACGUUACACAUAAUAUGCUUAGAACAGUGCUUGAUACAUAGUGAGCACUCAAUAAAUAACCGUUGUUCCUGUCAUUAAUCUGCCCCAUUACAUCACGUUAGACCCAUCUACUUCAGCCUUCACCACUCGUGUGUGUUUAUCAUUGUUUUCAUUUCAUUUCUUUCAUUUGACCUGUCUGUUUACAGCUCAUUAGAAUUGCAAUGUGCAAUGUGAUACAGUAGCUUGCCAGUCAUAUAGAAGCUCGGGGUGGUUUGGCACGCACCCAGGAUUCCAACCACCUGUGGUAACUGUUGCCAAAGUAUAGUAGAUUUUUAUUUCCCAUAAAUUGUUCAACCAGAGGUCCACAUCAUUAAUAUGACUUUGUGUCUUUACAAAAAAAAAUGUCUUUCUCCUUUUACAAAAGUAUUGUGUUUCCCACCAGUUCUGUGAAGCUGAGCAAUCACUUGGGUCUUCUUGUUCCUGCCUCUUGAAAAUGCUUUUUAAAAGGUGGCAGAUGUGCCAGCGGGAUCACCUGAAAUGACUUUCUGAGAUAAACCUGCCCAAGAUAGGAAGAGAAAACUAUUUUUUCUUCUCCAGCAAUCCAAGCGGCCAGUCUGUGUGAUCCCAUCACGAUGGGGCACUUAGCAAACCAGGAAGCGAUAACAAGGAAUAGCUUUCUACUUUCCAUAGUUUCUGUGCUCAUUAACAAUUGAUGACUUUUCCUUUAGGGUGGCGUUCUCAGCUGCAGCGGGACCCGGCCCCCAGUACCGUGUCUGCUUGUUAGGUGUAAGCAGUGUGUGCUUGUCCUUGGUGGCGAACUUCUAACAGCAGCCAGAGUGAAUGUCAGGGAGGCAAUGCAGGCUGUGUUUUGAAAAUCUGGGGUGGGGGUCCAGACACGUUCUAACUUAUAUUUUCAUGCUUUCUGUCACGAGCCAUAGUUGCAGUUACGAGCCAACACUUUGUAAGAGCUUUCCUGUGAUACCAUGUCUGCCCCUAAAUCCAGGUGUGAUCGGAUUCCCACUAGGUUCCACUCUGUAGCAGGCCUCGCUUGUGGGUGGGAUAUGCUGCAGGUCCAGCCCGGUCCCUUGGAAUGCCACCAUAGUAAAAAAAAUGUCAUAACAGGUUUAUGUUCUUGUUGUAAAACAUAGAGUCAUAUAGAGUAUUCUCUAACAGCAACUUUGGAAAAGGGGACUCUAAUCAGUGAUUCACUAAGUAGAAGUAAACUGAAAUUUUCUUGUCCUCAUUUCACAUUUGAUGUUUCUUGGCUCUAGAAAAAAAGCAGGUGUAUAUUUUCUGCAAAGCAGUGACUAAAGGCCUGUAAUUGCAUGUGGUGUUAAAUAGUCGAAGUCCAGAUAUUUUUUUUUCUGGGAACAUUGUUGGGUCAGUGCUGGACAUUAUUUUCUACCAAGCAUGAAGAUGCUAUUUUUAAAAGCACUACUUACUUUUUUUUUUUCCCUUUUCUGAUCCCCCCCUCUCCUUGUCCCAAAGUCCUCUUAUCUCUUCUCAAAAUAAAAAUAGCCCUUUCUCCCAGUAAGCUGACUUGUAAAUUCAUAUAAGAGUGAGAUAAAAAUACCGUAUUGUAUUUCCAAUUAACUCAUUUAAUUAGAUGAGGUGAAUUAAUUGGAUUUUUGGACAUGUUUCUGAAAGUCGAAGAAAUUCGCUUUUGGAAUUCCCAAGUGUGGUGGCGGCGGCCUGGGAGCUUUCUCAGUGUGCUGCUGCUGUCCAGGACAUGGUGUAAGAGCUGUCAUCCGAAGCCUGUCAUUUGAGUCCCCCUUGGGGGUAUGAAAGUGGCCUAGUGAUUUUUCAGAUAGAAGAGCAUAAAUCAGCAGGCCAUUUGGCUUUCCCUCCAGCCCGGGGCAUUCCCUGGUUAUCACCAGCCUCAUCGGAGGAGCCUUGAGUAAACAUUUCUGUGUCCACACUGCCCAGAUGAGAUGGUAAUCUACGGGUUGGGUUCCAACACUCUUUCUUAGAAGGAGUCUGAAGUUCUCCUCUCCAUCUCUUGCCUCACCCCGUAUAAUUUUAGGGCCCUGGGCAUGCGGGCCCUGAGGGCCCACCUUAUGCCUGGGGAAGUUCUGGCAUUUAGACUGGGGGCAGUUUUAACCAGUAGAUCAUUCUCCUUUGCACUAUAAUUACUUAGUUUUCCUCUCUCUAGGUUUAUACACCUUCUGGGGUAAAAGCUGGUUUAUUCUCUGGAUGCCAGAGUGCACCCCUACCACCCGCCCCUGCAGCCCCCCCCCCCCCCCCCCCCCCCCCCCCACCACAGUGUGCUUGAUAGGCACUUGGUAAGACGUUGCUGUAGCUGCUGAGCCCAUUCUUCCUAUAACCUAGACAUUCUAGAACCAGAAUAGGCAGAAGCGCGUUCUUGAGUUUCUUUUUUUUAGUAUGGUCUUUUUCAAGCAUAGAUCAGAGGAGCCAGACAAAAAGUAUUGGGGGCCAGGUAUACAACACCUCCUUUCAUGGUGGGAAAAUGCUGCUGAUAGGUUCUUUCUCUCUGCCAUUUGCCUCCAAAUGUCGUUUAAUCACCAGGUUUUUGGGUUGUUUCACACUUUAUAUCCCACUUGGACACACAUUGGUAAGUCUUGUCUCCAGAUUUGUGUAGUUUUUAUUGGCAUCUCAGGUGUUAGCACGGGGAGUAGAUAGUAGAUUUUUAAGAAGUAUCGUCCAAGGAGUGUCUUUAGUCAUAGUGGCCUGUUGGUGCAGAAAGACUUUUGGAAUUAAAUUAUCAGAAUUAUUUAAUUUUGUUCAGAAUAAACAGUCCAAAGGGCGUGCUGAAUGAAUAGAAAAAUAAGUAUACAAAGAAGUUUAGUAGGACCCCCCCCCCCCCCCACACACACCAACACACGCCCCCUUUCAGGUUCAGCAGAGCAGGUGUAAAGGGAGAGAUUCAUCAACAUCAGAUGAUGUCUGGCAGCUUUGAAAUAACUUGCACCUUGUCAUUUGCUACGAGUGGGUUCCUGGUCCUAACUCUGUCAUAUCCCUAAAAGCCUGCUCUAUGGAACUUGAACUGCACGGCGUUGUCUAAGAUGGGGCCGAGUUCCUGGCCACGUGGAGCUUCUGGCUUCCUUCCAGGGUGCAGGCUGAAGGAGUGAAGUCCUCGAGGAGAGUCAGGGUGGAGCUCCUCAGGCAUCUCCACCAUCCGAGAACCCUUUGUUCAUUCCUUUGGUCCUUCAACUGCCCCCGCGAGGAAGGGACCGACUGCCGCUGGGACCAGAACCUCAGUCCGUGCUGUCAGCUGCUGAGUGGGGCGCCGGCAUGCCAUGCUCUGCCAGCCACGCGUGACACAGUCAGCUUUUUCGGACUCCAACCCCGUAACAUGCACGUGGGAUACAGUUCUGUGGCCUCAUCCACUGGGGACGUGCUUUCCCGAGAUUUCAGCUUUCAGGGCUCAUCCCUCCGCCACUUCCUCGUUUCCUGGAGGCCUUUGACUGGCACUUCUCCGCAGAGCAGCACCUGGCACCUCCCGCUACCACGGCCGUGCACGCAUUUCCCACACCUCUUUCUCCAGGGUACUCUGUAGCCCUUAUCAAGGGCCACCAGAGGCGCCUUGUGGCUGACCCCCCUCCCCGUACCCCUCCCUCUCAAACCCCUCUGAUCUGAGUCACCCCAUCCUACUCUCUGCUUCUUCCUUUUAGUUACUCUUUUUUUUCUUUUUUUUUUUUUCAGUAACCUCCCUUCCUCCUGUGAAGGCUUGUACUUGCACGGCUGCGCACGCGCGUGAAACCCACAUGCACAGGCAUUCACUCACACUCUUCCUGUCUCCUGACUCUCCCUUAUCCGACCUCAGGCCCCCCAACUGCCGUUGGAGUGGAGAUGCUCUAGCGCCUGAGGGUUCUCAUUGCAGAAGCGCGUGAUUGUACGUUUAACUUCUGACAGAUACAGCCACCCAAGGGUUACAGCAUAAACCACAAUCUGCCCAAAGACCAAAGUCCACUAACCAAAGAGAUUAUUCGUUUUGUGUAAAGCAAUAAAUGAAAGCUUUCCCUGAACCUGGGCCACUCUGAGAUUCUGAAUUGUAAAUAGUGUAAGUUAGGGUGUGACCCCUUAAGAAGGUGAUUUGGAAAAGGUUUGUUGACAGUCUUCCUGGAAAGCUGAUUGCCAGAUACAAUCGCAGGCUUUCCCCUUAUUUCACAUAGUGCUUUCACAAUGUUUAUUUUCUGUCUUGGCUCUAGUGAGCACAAAUCAUAACUGGCAGGAUGAUACCCAAGUCUAGGACCAGGCUGGAGAGAGGGGGUCUUGCUAUGAUUUGAUCAAAAAGCAAACAGAAAAGCAAAAAGCAAAAGAAAAAAAAAAAGAAAAGGAAGGGUAGUGUUUUUUUCUCAUUGUGGGACUAAAUUGCUACAUGCUGAAUUUUCACUUUCUGAUUAGAACUGACAGUUGAACAGAUGAUUUAUUUCUUUGGGGUCUGGAAAAAAAUGGUCAAAUUUUAGUUUGUUCUUUUCUCUGUCUCCGCCCACUUUUUUUUUUUUUAAGAGCAUGGGUGUAUUCAUCAGAUAGUAGCCACUGUAUGAAGUGUCCUUCUGUGAUAAGUGUUUGCGGGUGAAGUCUGAAUCAUGCUAGAAAUCACUCACUUUGCACUUUUCACAGGUAGCAGAAAUGAGCCUGCUUCAUUCCGUCUCAACAGCUGUAACCAGUGGGUCAGUACGGACUGGUCUGAUUCCAUAAAGGAGGGCUAAUACUGGGUCUGGGUUAAUCCAGGUGCCAAUAAAAACAUGGUUAUUUUUUUUCUCACCUCCAGGCUUUAUAUUUCCAUGAACAUUGGCCUUAAAACAAGUCUGUGAAUGACCUUGUUCAAGUAUCUCUUGCUGCUUUCAGCUCCCAAGUAAUAAGCCUAGCAAUGUUUCCUUUCUCAGCCGGAGGAAAGACGCAGUUGUUGCUCGAGACAUUUACUUUCUACCUGCUGGCUUCAAACAGUAUUAAUUUUUAUGUGCUCCUUGUGCAUUGCGUUUAAUUAAAAGCAGUUCUAUUCGCAGAGGUACUUGUAGGUUUUUUUUCUUCUCUCCCUGAAAUGAAUAAAACAAAUAGGCAUCUGGUAUUUGUUUUGUAUAACACAAUUUCCAUAAAAUGAAGAGUAAUAAAACAUAAUUAUCUGUAAAGGCUUGUUUUAUAAGCUUGAGAAUGGGCUUGUUUCUACUAGGUUUUUAAAUCCUACUCAUACGAUCAAGAAUUCUUUGUUCAUUAAUAUAUAACAAUAAUCAUGACGGAAGCCUCCCAAUUUCAUGCGUGAGUCCAGCUCAUCUUUUGUUAAAUAAAUAUUUUAUUUUCUGCUAUAGUGUACAUGGUAGAAGUUUAUCAUCACGUUUCUUCUAUGGAGACACAUCGGAUUGAAGGGAAAUAUUUAUUUCCUAUUCUGUGUUUUGUUCAAUUGGUAUAGCUUUUUUAAAUGAUAUUUCCCCAUAAUGAAAGAGACAGUUUUAUUGCCAGCUGCUGAAUUUUGUAGGUCACAGUCCACUCUGGAUUCUAAAACUUCCUUUUAGAAAAGUACACUUCAAACUUUUGCACAGGUUUUUAUAGGGUGUAUAGGCCUUACACCCCUUGGUUCAAGAACUCUGCCAGUGCCUGGUGGUUAUGGGAACCAUGCUCAUGACUGUCUGAAGCUACCGUUUUAGCUUUCGUAUAUGCAUAGCUGACGAAAGGAUGCUGCCCAAAGAUUCUGCAGCGUUGGAUUCAUUUCAGGGUUAGGCUCCUUUCUAGGAAUGGAGGCCUACUCUCAUCUGAGGAGAAACAAAUUAGAACGUGGGAAGUACAAAAAUUAUUAAUUGCAAAAGUGAGUUUGCUGUCAGAUGAGAUGGCAGUGCCUACAUCCCUGGAGCUCCUGUCCCCAAGACUGUUUUUAUUGUCCCUGCCCCGCCCGAGGCAGGAGCCUUGAAGUGGUGAAUCCGUCCUCCGAGGUUGUGGGUCCUUCGCCGAGAGAAUAAAAGAGGCAGGAACAGAAUCACGCAGCGCACUAUAUCAGGGUGACAGUUUUAUGUGGUUGUGUGAUGUUGCAGAGUCUUGUAUGUGAUAUCGACCGUUUUCUUUUGAAUCAAAGCACAGGGUUUUCCUGGGCGAGAGAGGCUUUAGAAAUAACCUAGUCUAACCCAAAAUGGAGCUCCUGAAUAGUUAUCCCAUUCUCUCUACCACUAAGCUAAUUGCUCACAGGAAGUAAAAGUACAUAGCAAUGUAGCUAUUAUUUAUAUCGUUUGAGCAUUGAUUCCUAAUUUUAGAUUUCUGACACUGAAACAUUACCUUUGUGCAUUGAAAUGAUCCUGAAACCUUUAUAUUAUUACGAAUGCAAGUCGAAUUAAAGAGCCAUAGAUACUAGGUUUCCCCCUUCAUGUUGUCAUCCACUGGACAAUGAAUAGCUUAAAAUAAGAGCAUCAGCUCCAAAGGCAAGCUGAAUAUUCCAAUUCUAGAUCGGCAGUCGCUUGGCGUGCCUAUUUGAAAUAUCACUUUCGAAUGUACUUGGCAACUGAAAGUGCCCAAUUAAAAAGCUGCGAGGAAAGAGGAAGUCUGUGGCUGUGCAAUUAGUCCUUCGGAUCCCAAGCGGUUCCUUUCUAGCUGGAAGGCCACAAUGGGAAGUCGCUGGGCACAAUAGCUGUAGGCCAGGUGCUUAGAAUGUAAGGUGGUUUCAGGAUGGAUUAUUUCUGUGCCUUUGCUCGUAAAACGGUUUACCUAAAGAGGCUCCCGACCCCAUACAGUACUGGUGGUGUGAAAAAAAAUGUGGCAGUGUGCUUUCACAAAAUUUUAGGCAAUUGAUUACAAUAGCUAGCCACAUAAGCGGUAGGUAAUACCUAACCAUAUACAGGAGUGCUUAAGUUCUCAGAUGCUGUUCUAUCCAACUGACAGCCUUACUCCUCCCACCUUUUAUUGUAUUUUAUUUUAUUUGAGAGCUGACGGUUGGGUGGCAGAGGAUAUGCCAGAGAUUGUGCUGUUCUUAUGGAAAAAAAAAGAAGCCUCACUGAGUAGAGCAAGAUGAGCCAUAUAUUCUGAGAUUAUUUAUAGUGUUUAUUACAGAGAGACCAAAAACACUAAGCACUUAAUAGCUUUCCUUAUUUACAAGUCAGAUUCAUCUAAGGGAUAUUAUUCUUUUAUUUUUCUGGUGCUGGAAGUGUUGGUUUAAAAUAGAUUAUAAGCGAGGGUACACAGUGACGCGGGAUUUGUUGGCUGUGAAAAUGCAGAAUGGAUGAAGCUUUUUUAAUGCACUGCCACAAAAAAAGUCCAUUUUAUUUAAGUAAAAACACGGCUUUUUGCCUCAGUGAAGCCCACACACACACACACAGACACAAGUAACAUAGGGCAGGUGAGUAUAUGCGUGGAUGGGGCUCUUCUUUUCCAAUUACGUAAUGAACGCAUUCCGUUCAAGUUUGUGGUAAAGUGAGUGUCUAUUCAGCGAAUUAGUUUUCCCCGGUGACUUCUGCGGUGGAAAUGGCACUGUCUUCCACCAGCUCUGAAUGUAAAAUGCGCUCAGUUACAAAUA